rnacentral:rRNA from 1 species
AGAGUUUGAUCUUGGCUCAGAAUCAACGCUGGCGGCGUGCCUAAUACAUGCAAGUCGAACGCGAAAGUCCCGCAAGGGGCAAGUAGAGUGGCAAACGGGUGAGUAACGCGUGGGCGACCUACCUUCGAGUGGGGGAUAACCUUCCGAAAGGAGGGCUAAUACCGCAUGACAUCCCGUGUUUAGAUACACGGACAUCAAAGCUGGGGAUCGUAAGACCUGGCGCUUGAAGAGGGGCCUGCGUCCGAUUAGCUAGUUGGUGGGGUAAUGGCCUACCAAGGCGACGAUCGGUAUCCGGCCUGAGAGGGCGGACGGACACACUGGAACUGAGACACGGUCCAGACUCCUACGGGAGGCAGCAGUAGGGAAUUGUUCGCAAUGGGCGCAAGCCUGACGACGCAACGCCGCGUGGAGGAUGAAGAUCUUCGGGUCGUAAACUCCUUUUCGACCGAGAUGAACACCUGCCGACCUAAUACGUCGGCAGGCUGACAGUAUCGAGGGAAGAAGCCCCGGCUAACUCCGUG